UACGUAGGGGGCAAGCGUUGUCCGGAAUCAUUGGGCGUAAAGCGCACGUAGGCGGAUUGCUAAGUCAGGGGUGAAAUCCUGGAGCUCAACUCCAGAACUGCCUUUGAUACUGAGGAUCUUGAGUUCGGGAGAGGUGAGUGGAACUGCGAGUGUAGAGGUGAAAUUCGUAGAUAUUCGCAAGAACACCGGUGGCGAAGGCGGCCAUCUCGGACCGCAAUGACGCUGAGGCGCGAAAGCGUGGGGAGCAAACAGGGAUUAAGAAACCCUAG
rnacentral:rRNA from 1 species